AAGUCGCUCACAGAAUUCAGCUCAGGAGAGUGGCCUGAGAGAACCGAGGCUGGAGUAAUUCAGUGGCAAUCCCACUGAGUCUCACUGUCCCCACCAGGGUCUCCUCACCUCUCACUUGUCACCUGUCUGCUGUAGGCACGCUCUACAGUCAAGACUUCAUUCAAGAGGCCUGCGUAGAGGACACCCCAGCCACACCAGGUUCUCACUCCAGAUAUUACUCACCAGCGAAUGUCCACAAGCCUGAUGUGAUCUCACUGUGUCUUUCCCUGAGAACAAAUGUGGGAACACAGCCUUCUCAAUACCAUAGCUCACUAAUCCACCAGAAACAUGCAGAAUGGCAGAUGGACUUUCCAAAGAGAGAAAUGAGCUGUGUUCAAUGAUUACUUAUAAACAGUUGUGAAGAUAA